AAGAUCAGAACAGUUUGGCUGAAGACACAUCGUGAGUUCCAUGCUGGUAAAUACGCACACCCCACUAGAUUGAAGGGUUUGAGAUCAGCAGGUUCUGUCAUUCUUCCUCCUAUAUAUAAUAGUGUUCUAUUAGAAGUGUAUUUCAGAAGUAGAACAUGACUGAAGUUGCUUUGAAGGUGAGCAGAGAAUUAAAAAAGAGCAGUCUCCA